rnacentral:rRNA from 1 species
CUACGGGCGGCUCCAGUGGGGAAUAUUGCACAAUGGACGAAAGUCUGAUGCAGCAACGCCGCGUGGAGGAUGACACAUUUCGGUGCGUAAACUCCUUUUAUAUAGGAAGAUAAUGACGGUACUAUAUGAAUAAGCGCCGGCUAACUCCGUGCCAGCAGCCGCGGUAAUACGGAGGGCGCAAGCGUUACUCGGAAUCACUGGGCGUAAAGAGCGUGUAGGCGGAUAGAUAAGUUGGGAGUGAAAUCCUAUGGCUCAACCAUAGAACUGCUUCCAAAACUGUCUAUCUAGAGUAUGGGAGAGGUAGAUGGAAUUUCUGGUGUAGGGGUAAAAUCCGUAGAGAUCAGAAGGAAUACCGAUUGCGAAGGCGAUCUACUGGAACAUUACUGACGCUGAGACGCGAAAGCGUGGGGAGCAAACAGGAUUAGAUACCCGAGUAGUC